UCCUAACACAUGUACUAUCAUGUAUGCCUAUGAAAGACGACCGAGCCAAAUUAGAGUAAAAGGCGCCGCCCCAAGUUCAGUCCCGCCCCGAUCUGCAGGCUGCAGCCGGGUGUAAUUGGCCAGAGAGGGGGAGGUGGACGUCGAGCUCCACCAUUGGCUCUAGCGGCUCGAGCCCAUGCCUCUCCUAUCCAACUUCUACAUCCCUCGACAUGGCCACCACGCAAACUGAGUGAGCUGCAUUCACCGGUGGUGACAGCAAGCUAACAGCCUGUGGGCGUCUGAGUGUGCAAACCUCCAGCAAUCUUACGUACGUCUCAAGCCAUCUGGACCCCUGUUCACUGCCAAGUUAUGUAAGUCUGAAAAAGAACAUGGGCGUCUAUCCCAAACACUGAGCUCAACGAUGACAUUUCACUAUCAACUCCCCUCAACGCACAUUCACAGUAUGGAAAGAAGUCAAAAACGGUCAACGCAAAUUUUCACUUUUGUAUCUGGACCCAUACAGCUAUUUGUUUUGGAGUGAUCAGGCACAAUUUACAUGAAAAUUACUAAUACUGGGAAGGAACUGGUUGACACAUUUAGUUUCAUCCUCUCACACAUGGAAAUACUGAUGUCCAUACUUUUAUUUAGUUAUAUACACAUAUUUGCACACCAGAAUAUUGAGUUAAUGGGCUUUAAUCGGUUACAAAAAUCACUAUUUAUGUUAAAAUAGAAAUAUUUGUCAUCUCUCUAUGGUGUUUGCAGUGAUGUGCUUUCAGACCGAGGUAAACUAAAACCCACUGAACAUCACAUUUUGCCAGGUAUUAUUGUCAGGUAGAGAGAGAGAUUCACUCAGCUGGCUCUACCCUGCUUUAAAGAACCUCCAUCUGUUCUUUAAGUAAGAUUUAGAUUCAGUUUCAUUAUGGAGGUAACAAUAAAGAUUUUAGGACCUGCAAAAUGGAAAACUACUCUAGUAGCUGGAGAGAAAAAAAAGAUCAGUGAUUGUCAAAUAGUAGCUUAUACACAUUUCAAUAACAUUACAAAAAUGGCACAAUAUUUAGCAUAAACAUUUAUAGAGCACCCAGAUUAAUACUGUAAUGUUUGGACAUUGUCCAUGUCUUAUGAAAGUCUUAAACUGGGUAUAAGAGGGAUCAAGAACAAAAGCAUAAUGAAUAAUUAAUUAAAUACAGGGUUCCCACACUUUUUAUUAGUCGAUUUACAGUACAUGACACGUUUUUUUUUUUUUUUUUUUCUAGUUGAUCACCAAUUAUUGAAUUAUCU